rnacentral:other from 1 species
UAAUUCCUGAAGUGUACGUCGGGGUGAUAUAAUUCAACCUACAUUAUCACAUUGGGAGUCUGGAGUUCAUCUGGAUUAUGCCAAGCCUACAUAGAUUGGAAGGCAGAGGCCAGAGACAGGACACCCACCUAACAGUCGUUAGGGCGUGAAUUAUAUUCCUGACGGCAUGUCGGGAAUUGU